GGUGGUUGUGGUGGUGGU
rnacentral:siRNA from 1 species